UUGAUUUGGUGGAUGGUGGUGCAUGGCCGUUCUUAGUUGGUGGAGUGAUUUGUCUGGUUAAUUCCGAUAACGAACGAGACUCUAGCCUAUUAAAUAACACACAGAAUCAUGUCUUCUGCGGUGUUUCUUAAUGGGAUCAAGUGUGUUUAACACUUUGAAACAGAGCAAUAACAGGUCUGUGAUGCCCUUAGAUGUUCGGGGCCGCACGCGCGCUACAUUGAAAGACAAAAUGAGCGUUUCUGGUUUUUAACAAAACUAGUAAUCUUUGAAUGUUUUUCUUAA
rnacentral:rRNA from 1 species